GGGUCGUUAGCUCAGUUGGUAGAGCAGUUGACUUUUAAUCAAUUGGUCGCAGGUUCGAAUCCUGCCACGACCCACCA
rnacentral:tRNA from 1 species